UUUAUGAUUCGGAAUGAUCACAAUUUUUUUUUGAAAAUUUUAUAGAAUGGGAAAGAUUUCAACAGCAAAACCAAACCAAUCAAUAGCAUUGAAAAAAAGUUUAAUUUUCAAUAAGUUUCGGUGGUGGCGCAAUUAGAUCAACUAUUGUAACGAACAAUUUCCCCGGUUUUGUUCCGUUGAUUGCAUCGAUUUUCAGAAUUCUUUUGGCGCCAAAGGCAAUGAUGGAACAUUUGGCCUAAACGAUGCCGCAUUAACUCCUGAUAAUACAGUCUGUGAGUAAUGGUCGGGCUUCGAUAUGAAAGAAAAGGGGAAUGUUAAUGUACAUAGCAUAUAGGGAGCUUACGAAAUGUAAGGAAUUUCAAUUCUACGGAGUAGUGGAAGAAAGAAAUGAUGAAGUUAGUGAAGCAAAAUUGACGGUCCUCUUCAGAUUCCCAAAUCACAAGGGGAACGCGAAAUGGAAUAUAUUGUAAAGCUCCCUUUCGAAUUGUACAAGAAUCAGGAUGUGACUGAGGAAAUACCAUUCACUUUUCUAUGAUGAAUUAUGUGGCCUCAGCAGUGGUCAGAUUGGGUAUAUUCAAAGUUCAUCCAUGUGAGAAUAUUAUAUACCUAGUUGAUGAAAGAACGAGGUAUGAAUUAAGCCAACAAAAGACAAGUGCUUUCCUAACUUUUUUUCUUCCAUCUUUGCUGAAAUGAAAUCUAGCUUUACUCUUUGAAUUUUUUUUCCCUUUUUGUUGGUGGCGGUGGAAAAUGGGAUAUAGCAUGAAGCAAUGGAAUUUGAUAAAGGGGAAAUAUACCGAAUGGUCUUUACACUUUUAGGUGAUUCUCAAAAACCUCUUUAGGGCCUUUUUGUUUAAAUUUUACCAACAAAAAGUUGAUGCAUCAGUAAAUUAUUGUUUUACUAGAGUAGUUAGAACAGAUAAAUAUGUGUCACUUUGAAGCUACACGUAAGAAAAAAGUCUAUUUCUUCUCAUGACAUGUUUACAUGUCUUAACUAUAUCAAUAAAAUUAACAUUUAAUGA